UGCGUGGUGUGCUCAUGGCUGUUUGCUCCCUCGUUCAGCCACCUUAGGGUUUGGUUUUGUGAAUUUUUUCCCCUACUCUUGAGCUCCAAAUUUGUGGUCAUCGUGUGAGUGAUGUGGCAGUGUUCAGGCCUAGGUAACCUCCCUUUCAAACCCCCAAAUCUGAUUUGCUCUUGUGCUGUGUGCCAGCUCCCUAGUUGGUGACCACGCCCACUAAAUUCCCCACCUCACCGUGGCCAGGCUUUCUCGUGGAGUUUUUCACCCGUGUGGUGAAUGUUCCGUGCUCUGCAAAGAACACCUAGAAGAAGUGGUGUCUGCAGAAGGAGUUCACUUCAGUGCCUGCUGAUCCAGUGGUGGAGUUUCAUCUAACUUCUUACCAGAGUAGAAGGAUUUUAGAUCUUCUCCUGCAAUAAGG